UUGGAGGGCAAGUCUGGUGCCAGCAGCCGCGGUAAUUCCAGCUCCAAUAGCGUAUAUUAAAGUUGUUGCAGUUAAAAAGCUCGUAGUUGAAUUUCGGGACCAAUUUGUUGGUCGUGCCUCGGUACGUACUGGUAUUAUUGGUUUCUCCCUUCUGAAGAACCUUGAUGUCAUUAAUUUGGUGUCUUGGGAAAUCAGGACUGUUACUUUGAAAAAAUUAGAGUGUUUAAAGCAGGC
rnacentral:rRNA from 1 species